rnacentral:tRNA from 1 species
GGCCUCUUAGUUCAAUGGAUAGAGCGUAAGUUUCCGAAGCUUAAAAUAUAGGUUCGAUUCCUAUAGAGGCCA